AGCAGCCGCGGUAAUUCCAGCUCCAAUAGCGUAUAUUAAAGUUGUUGCAGUUAAAAAGCUCGUAGUUGAAUUUCGGGGUUCUACCGUUGGUCGGGCUUUGUCUGUACUGGCGUGUAGAAUUUCUACCUUCUGGGGAAUCAUCAUGUUAUUAAUUUAACGUGGUGGGAAACCAGGACCUUUACCUUGAAAAAAUUAGAGUGUUCAAAGCAGGCUUGUGUCUGAAUACAUUAGCAUGGAAUAAUAAAAUAGGACGGUGGUCCUGUUUUGUUGGUUUCUGAAUCACCGUAAUGAUUAAUAGGGAUAGUUGGGGGCAUUAGUAUUCAAUUGUCCAGAGGUGAAAUUCUUGGAUUUAUUGAAGACUAACUUCUGCGAAAGCAUUUGCCAAGGAUGUUUUCAUUAAUCAAGAACGAAAGUUAGGGGAUCGAAGACGAUCAGAUACCGUCGUAGUCUUAACCAUAAACUAUGCCGACUAGGGAUCGGACGAUGUUAAAUUUUUCUUGA
rnacentral:rRNA from 1 species